rnacentral:rRNA from 1 species
CACCGCGGUUAUACGAAAGACCCAAGCUGAUAGAUGCCGGCGUAAAGAGUGGUUAAGUAUCUUGAUAGAACUAAAGCCGAACGCCCUCAAGACCGUUAUACGUUUCCGAAGGUAUGAAGCCCAACCACGAAAGUAACUUUAAUUAUAUCCGACUCCACGAAAGCUGUGAAA